rnacentral:rRNA from 1 species
UACAGAGGUCUCGAGCGUUAGGCGGAAUCACUGGGCUUAAAGCGUGUGUAGGCGGAUCGUUAAGUGCCUUGUGAAAUCCCACGGCUCAACCGUGGAACUGCUUGGCAUACUGGCGGUCUUGAGCAACCUAGGGGCGAGCGGAACAAAUGGUGGAGCGGUGAAAUGCGUAGAUAUCGGGAGGAACACCAGUGGCGAAGGCGGCUUUCUGGUCUGCUCUUGACGCUGAGGCGCGAAAGC